AUUUUACCUUUAAACUUCUAUUUGGCCCAUUCCAGCAGUGGUCGCCGUUUGUAAAUUGCAUAGUUCUGUAGGAAUGGGCCAAAUAGAAGCUUAAAGGUAAAAUUAAGGUGUGGUUUGAAAAAUGAGGUAACUGAUAUAGAUGAACCGAGCCGCUGCGAAUAUUUAGCAUUUUUCUCUACACCAGCACUCUGUCUGGAAGAAAAACUGAAGGAACUACAAGAUAAACUAGAUAUGAUGAAUAAGGAGCAACCACAAGACCAUGAUGAACUGUGACCUCUCUGGUUAGGCCUGGCUUGGGAACUGUGACCAUGAUGAACUGUGAUCUCGACUAAUUCCACAGGAUACUUGCACCUCAGGGGACGCAAAAAUGGGCAAAGUGAUCCAUUGAUAUAUUUUCUCAAGAACAGUAUCAACAUUUUUGAAGUCAUACCCCAUUUAUAUUUUUGCGAUGUUGUUGCCAAUCAUAUCAUAUUAUACUAAAAGUGGAUAGCUCCAG
rnacentral:misc_RNA from 1 species